UUCCAGGAAAAGCCUCUAAGCUUCAGAUUGUAAGGAAUCGUACCCCAAACCGACACAGGUGGUCGGGUAGAGAAUACCAAGGCGCUUGAGAGAACUCGGGUGAAGGAACUAGGCAAAAUGGUACCGUAACUUCGGGAGAAGGUACGCUCUCGACGGUGAAGUCCCUCGCGGAUGGAGCUAUUGAGAGUCGCAGAUACCAGGUGGCUGCAACUGUUUAUUAAAAACACAGCACUGUGCAAAAUCGUAAGAUGACGUAUACGGUGUGACGCCUGCCCGGUGCCGGAAGGUUAAUUGAUGGGGUUAGACUUCGGUCGAAGCUCUUGAUCGAAGCCCCGGUAAACGGCGGCCGUAACUAUAACGGUCCUAAGGUAGCGAAAUUCCUUGUCGGGUAAGUUCCGACCUGCACGAAUGGCGUAAUGAUGGCCACGCUGUCUCCACCCGAGACUCAGUGAAAUUGAAAUCGCUGUGAAGAUGCAGUGUACCCGCGGCUAGACGGAAAGACCCCGUGAACCUUUACUACAGCUUGGCACUGAACAUUGACCCUACAUGUGUAGGAUAGGUGGGAGGCUUUGAAGCACGUACGCCAGUAUGUGUGGAGCCGUCCUUGAAAUACCACCCUUGUAGUGUUGAUGUUCUAACGUCGACCCCUUAUCGGGGUUGCGGACAGUGCCUGGUGGGUAGUUUGACUGGGGCGGUCUCCUCCCAAAGAGUAACGGAGGAGCACGAAGGUGGGCUAAUCACGGUUGGACAUCGUGAGGUUAGUGCAAUGGCAUAAGCCCGCUUGACUGCGAGAAUGACAAUUCGAGCAGGUGCGAAAGCAGGUCAUAGUGAUCCGGUGGUUCUGAAUGGAAGGGCCAUCGCUCAACGGAUAAAAGGUACUCCGGGGAUAACAGGCUGAUACCGCCCAAGAGUUCAUAUCGACGGCGGUGUUUGGCACCUCGAUGUCGGCUCAUCACAUCCUGGGGCUGAAGUCGGUCCCAAGGGUAUGGCUGUUCGCCAUUUAAAGUGGUACGCGAGCUGGGUUUAGAACGUCGUGAGACAGUUCGGUCCCUAUCUGCCGUGGGCGUUGGAAGAUUGAAGGGGGCUGCUCCUAGUACGAGAGGACCGGAGUGGACGAACCUCUGGUGUUCGGGUUGUGUCGCCAGACGCAUUGCCCGGUAGCUAAGUUCGGAAUCGAUAACCGCUGAAAGCAUCUAAGCGGGAAGCGAGCCCUGAGAUGAGUCUUCCCUGAUACUUUAAGUAUCCUAAAGGGUUGUCGGAGACUACGACGUUGAUAGGUCAGGUGUGUAAGUGCUGUGAGGCAUUGAGCUAACUGAUACUAAUUGCCCGUGAGGCUUAACCAUACAACACCCAAGGGGUUU
rnacentral:rRNA from 1 species